GGGCGUGGCCUAAAUGGCAGGGCCCCCUCACAGGACAAGAAGCAGAGGACACACAGGGCCGGGGACAGGUGAUGUAACUGACCUGUCAGGUAAGGGUCAGUGGAGUGGGCGGGGUCAGGAGAAAGGGGGGGGGCACACACAGUACAGGAAGUAGAAGACACAGCAUGGUGGGGACCCAAAGUGAAGCAGGGCUGUGGCAAGCGAGGGAGGCUUGGCCUAGACGUAAGGGCGGGGCCUCGGCGGGGUGGGUGUGGCCCCACACAGCACAGGAAACAGAGGUCACACAGUGGUGAGGACAGGAAGUAACAUCACUGAGCAACCACUGUGGGGGUGUGAGGGCACGGCCAGAAAGACUGGGCGGGGUCCCCCGGGGCCCUGCCCACCUGCAGGAAGGGCACAAAGUCCUCCUGGAUGAGGCCGCUACACCCUGGGCGGCCCAGCAGCCGCACGAACCGCGCAGCAUCAUCGUGGCAGGAAGUCCCUCCCCUUCGGACGUGAUUGACAGGAUCUACUUCCUACGGCUUCGUACGCAGACACGUAGGCCGGGCUCACCCGCACUGGCCCUUCUCCCUGCGGGCUGUCCCUCACGCACUCACCGUCCUGGGUCCCGUCGUUCUCAGCGCGGGCCGCGGCAGCGGUCGGGGGGCGGGGUUAGGGUCGGAGGUCGUGUUUACGGGGUCCGCAUCUGGGGUCGCGGCGGCGGCGGGGUCAGAGGUCGCCCCUGGGUCCCGGAUGCGGUGGAGGGCGUGGCUGAGCGCGCGCUGCGUGUGAGGAUCACCGAGCCAGCGCCGGAAGAGCUCGUCCACCUUCAGCUGUAGCCGCGGCGUCAGCGGCGGCAUGGCAACCAGAAGGUGCCGGGCCGGAAGUGGGCAGAGACUGAUGGCAGAGGGGCGGAGCUCGGCAGAGACCGGAAGAACUGCGGUGGGAUACUUCCGAUAGCCGAGGAUUCCAAAUAAAAAUCAA